rnacentral:tRNA from 1 species
UCUUGGGUGGCUCAGUGGUUGAGCAUCUGCCUUUGGCUCAGAUCAUGAUCUUGGGGUCCUGGAAUCAAGUCCCAGCUCAGCAG